GAUUAAGAACGUAGCGAAAUGCGAUAAGUAAUGUGAAUUGCAGAAUUCAGUGAAUCAUCGAGUCUUUGAACGCACAUUGCGCCCCCUGGUAUUCCGGGGGGCAUGCCUGUCCGAGCGUCAUUGCUGCCCUCAAGCACGGCUUGUGUGUUGGGCCUCCGUCCUCCUCCCGGGGGACGGGCCCGAAAGGCAGCGGCGGCACCGCGUCCGGUCCUCGAGCGUAUGGGGCUUCGUCACCCGCUCUUGUAGGCCCGGCCGGCGCUUGCCGACACAUCAAUCUUUUUUCCAGGUUGACCUCGGAUCAGGUAGGGAUACCCGCUGAACUUAAGCAUAUCAAUAAGCGGAGGA
rnacentral:misc_RNA from 1 species